rnacentral:rRNA from 1 species
GUCUUUUUGAAUAUAAUAUAAAGUCUGAUCUGCCCAUUGAUUUAUUAAAAGGCUGCAGUAUUUUGACUGUACAAAGGUAGCAUAAUAAUUAGUUUUUUAAUUGAAAGCUAGAAUGAAUGAUUUGAUAAAAAAAAUACUGUCUCUUUUUUAUAAUUAGAAUUUUAUUUUUGAGUUAAAAAGCUUAAAUUUUAUUAAAAGACGAGAAGACCCUAUAGAGUUUGUAUAUAAAUUUUUAAUAUUUUUUUAUUUUUUUUAAAUUUUAUUAUUUAAAUAUAUUUUAUUGGGGUGAUAGAAAAGUUUGUUUAACCUUUUUAUUAUAGAAACAAUUAUUAUUGAAAUAUUGAUCCUUUUUGAUUAUUAGAUUAAAUUACCUUAGGGAUAACAGCGUAAUUUUUUUGGAGAGUUCAUAUCUAUAAAAAAGUUUGCGACCUCGAUGUUGGAUUAAGAUUUUAUUUAAAUGUAGAAGUUUAAAUUUUAAGUCUGUUCGACUUUUGUAAUCUUACAUGAUC